AAAUGCACAAAACUAAAAGUACUAGUUGUAGGAGCUAAUAAUCUGACUGGAGAAAUCCCAACUUGGAUUGGAAACCUUUUUUCUUUGUCUCGCAUUAGCUUUGGAUUAAACAGCUUCAUUGCAUACCACACGAGCACAAGCAAUGCCAACAACAACAGUGGAACCCACAACACACGACCAACACUCACAAAAGGCUUCGAGAGAUUUACAACCUCAAACAAAAGACUCAUUUGCAGAGGAAUAAAAGCCUCAAUGGGUGGAACUUUCAAACACCCACUGACAAACAAAAAACUCAAACCUCGUAUCCUGGUCUAUUCACGAAAUCAAAUGAAGUAUAGCAAAAAGGCACUACAAGAAGUUGGGAAUACAAGGAGAUUAAAAGUAGAGAUGGGAAGGCAAAGCUGAAAACCAAUGUAUUUUUUGCUUCCUUUUGAUAAAAUGAGUGAAAGAGCUUGCGGUGAAAAUGCGUGCCCGGUUUUAGUUGCGCUCAAAGCUCAUUGGCUUCACUCCAACCAUGGUAUGCCAACAAGAGGCGCAAUUCGAGAAACUCAUCACACAAGGUUCAUCAGAAUGGAGAAAGCUAUGUAACAGUGACUACUACUCCAAGCUCUUCCCAAAUAAAUAUUUUGAUCUUGAGUCGAUCAUCAAAGCCAUUC